CUCAAGCGGGCUCCGCUCCUUCCCCAUCUCUCCUGGUUUUUGGUCGAUGGCUGUACCGCCUUAUCAAAUGUCCUGGAGUUCUAUGAGCCUUUCCUUUCCUUUCGAGUUUGAAGAUAAUUAUCUCGAUCAUGCAGGAUUUUUUCAGGCUUUUGAAUUUCUCAGAUAAUUUGACCCAUAGUGGUUGCACGGAAUGCUAUUUUGAGUUGGUUUGAUCAGUCUUUUAUUGGAUUUUUGGGAAUGUUGUCUGUUCAACAACAUCGUUUCUUUCUUUGAUUCAAGACCUGUUUGAUUUCGAUUUUUGGAUUAUCUAUUGGCAGUGAUAUGAUUAUUGUCCUGCAGAUGUGCUUAUUUGGUGAAUUGUUUUAGAGGGUCCUGAGAUGGAUGGGUAGAUUGAGUAUUCCUUGGCUGCAUAUAUUGGGUGAUGGAUCAUCUAUUUGACAAAGAAUAAGUUCUCCUCAUCUCUUAGCCUUUUCUGUUCCUGAAUUUCUCAAGUGUUCUUUUUUUUAUACGGAUACAUACAUGCAAGUUUGUCAUGAAUUUACAGGAUUCAGAAGGUUAAUUUGAACUGGACAUGUCUAUUUAGAUGCCUAUUUCAUAAGCGGGUGUUUCUCGGCUAUACAAGUUCAUAUUUAAGCUUAUAAGCAUGAUGAUCAUUCAGAAGUUCUACAUUAGGAUCCUAAACCAGUUAUCAUUCUUUUAUAGGGUGAUGCGAAUUAGGUACUGUGAUUGUUGAGGUUGGAUGGAGGUUUGAAGAUUUUGUUACACAACUUCCUUUUUGUAAUUAGUGGAUUUAACUGUAAGCAAUCAUGCAGUCAUUUAUUCAUGUCCCUAGUACCUUCUGCCGUAAAGUUUGUAUAAGCUAAAUUCUAAUCCCAAAGAUUGGCAUGCUUUAUGCUUUUUCA